ACUCCUAUGAAGAAAGAACUUACCUCUUUCCUGUAGGUAUCUUAAAAAACCUCUUGACAAUCAAUGUCAAAUUUAUUAUGGACAAAUCGAAAUGUUUUAGAUAAAAUUAUAUUAAUAUUCGCCGGUAUGUUCACGAUUUGCAUGUGAAUCUGGCAAUGACAGAAUGCGAUUUACUACCUAGAAAAGAUCCUGUCAUAUCUUUGUCAGAAUUCUGCAACUGCGGGGGCGACUGCAUGGACAAACCAAAGCCUGUCUAUGGCCCUGCUUAUCAAAACGCCUUCCGUUUCCGCGGCCCGCUCGCCGGCCAGAACACAUGUUUUGGAAGAAAUUUCAGAUGCCUGUGGCUCCUAGGAAUAGUGAUAAUAAUGCUUUUGAGUAUCUCUUUAAUGGUGGUGUUGUUUUUAAAAAGAAAUGGCGGUUUUGAGUAGUUUCGUUGUUUGUUAUUAAAGAUUAAGUUUUGUUCACAUA